rnacentral:lncRNA from 1 species
CACUUGGGAGAAGAAGGAGCUGCUUCGGAGGCCAUGUUGGAUGGAAGCGAAGUUUCGAAUGAUCCAUCGGCUUUGGUUAUUGCUAUUGUUAAGUUUUUUGCUCUCUCACACUUCACCAUGAUCAAGUUUCCUAAAUUAUGAGGAAAUGAAUGCAAUCAUAGGUAGAGUAGUUUAGUAUUGUUUUUCUUUCUAGUAAUUAUUUCUCUUAUAAUUUUCUCCUAAAAGUACUCAUUUCUUUUUAAAUAUGCCUUUCCCAAACCAUUUGAAACACUUCUAAAUAUUUAUUUUAAAUAAGUUCUUUUUUAUGAAUUGAGUAAAUUUUAUUUUUAAACUUUCUAUUUUUUAUUUAUAUUUAUAUGUUACUCUAGCUUGUUAUUUACUUUUUUUUAUAUAUUUAUAUUUUACUUUAAUGUUUUUUUAUUCUUGGAUAUCUAUACCAUAAUUUUAAAUUUUAAAUUUUCAAUAUUUAGAUUGAAAAAUUGUAUUAGAUGAAAAAAAAUUAAAAAAUAGUUUAUAACAUAAUUUUUUUUUUUUUUGCAUAUUGCAAAUAUGACAAAUGUAACAAGCUAAGUAAUUAGAUAUAUCAAACGGUUAUAUAUCAAAGGACUAUUAGAGGACUAUCCGCUUUUAAAUUUCCUACUUUUGUUUACUAAAAUAUUAAUUUAGGUUCACUUUUGAUAUUUUACAACACAACAUUUACCUAAUAAUAUUGAGUUGGAUUUUAGUCAACAUGUGAGAUAAAUGACUUGUAGAAGAUUAGCAACAUAUGAAUAAUGAAAACGAUUAUAUUAUAUACUUAUUAACAUUUGUAUCCAGACUUAUAUGUACUCAAUAAUGUAAAUGUUUUAUAACUAUUUUUAUAUUUGAAUUCAUUUACAUUACAUACAGUGUAUGCAUAAAUUAUAAAACUAUCAAAUUAGAGAAAAUGUUAGAACACAUGAAUGUAUGAAACGAGAAACAAACAAUUCAAAUACAUUUGUAUUUUUUUUUCUUUUUCUUUUUUGAACAACAAAAACACAUGAAUGGUUACCAGACAUAUUUCUGUUACUAAUUCACCAAAAAAAAUAAGAAACAAGGAACAAAGAACGAAAAACGAGAAAUGAAAAAUAAUAUCGUUAUUAGACGAGCCCUAGGUGAAGCACUUGUUUAACCAAAAACGUGUCACAAAGAAAAUCAAUUAAAUAGUGUUUCUAUAAAAGAAAACGAUAUCUCUCAUCCAUAUGUUUUUAGAACUUCACACCAUGACACACUUUUUGUCACCGAACAAUAAAAGAUAAUGACAAAUAUCAAUUAACACCCUAAACUGUAGGAUUGUAUUCAGUUUAGACUAUCAACUAAUAAUGAUAUCAAUUUAAACAUCGAGCAUCUUUGCAGUUGUAUCAAUUUAAAAUUUUGAACUUUCACAAUUAUAUUAAAUUAAACCUUGAACUUACAUAAAUUAACUUUACAAGUGUAUCCAAAUAAAACAUAAUAUAAUGGAUGAUUUAAUUUGAUACUAUCACGUAAGUUCGGAAUUUAAAAUGAUAUACUUAUAAAAGUUCGAGAUUAAUUGAUACAAUUAUUUGUUUGAGGUCUAAAUGAAUACAAAUUUUAAAAUUCAUGAUUUAAAUUGAUAUAACUAUUAGUUAAGCGUCUAUAGUUUUAGGUUUGGGAUGUAAGUUGAUAUUUCUCGUGCAAAUAAAAUACACCCUCACAAUUGUCACGAACAACAGUUUUAAAAUUGUACGAUGAACACAACUAUUUCCUUUUUGAGAACAAAGGAAACACCUUUGAGGACAUUUAAUUAACAUUUUUAACAAACAUUGUUAAAUCUGACUACAAUAAUUUUGACUUUAGAGAGUAGCUGAAAUGUUUAUAUUAAGUGAAGCACUUGCUAUAUAAGCACAUCCAAAGGAAAUUAAUUAAAAAUGUUUCUUCUAAGAAAACUGUAUUCCUUAUUUUCAUAUUAAAAUGUUCAAAACCACUUGUGUUGUCAUUAAAAGAUAGAAUGCACCAUUAAUUGUGACACACACUUUUAACCACUUUUAAAUUCUAAAUCAAACACCACUAGUUCUUUCUUUUUUAAAAAAUAAAAAUUAAAUUUAAGAAACACCCAAAAUCAUUCAUAAACAUUUUUAAAUAAAACAAUACUACAAAAAAAUAGGUUUAGAUAUGACAGUGUAAAAAGGAUAUUACUACUUUUGGUGACUCUUGUUUUAGUCUUGUAACAAAUAAGUGUAUAUAGAUAAUUCGUGAAAGAAAAUGUUAGAAUUGGUUGUUUUAUGAAUUUUGAAUUUAAUCAACAAUAAUCAUUUGGAUUAUGUUUAAUUUAGAAAAUAAAUUAUUUUGAAAAAAAAAAACUCAAAAAUAAUUUUUAAGGUAUAUUUUAAAUAAUACCUUAUAAAUAAUUUUUAAGAAAAAGAUUUUAAACAAAAAUGAGUUUGAAAAAUAUAUUUUUUUCUUUAGACCCUUAGGUGAUGGUCGUAAUGGUAACAUUUUAGAUGAAAAUUUAUUAUUGUCAAUAAAUAGUUUGAAAGCUGACUAUUUCUGUCAAAUAAACAUACCUUGACAGCAAAAAUCUGACCACAAAAGAACUCUCGUAAAACUUUAAAAACUCUACCAUGACAGUGAAAAUCUUACCCAAAAAGUUUGACUUUUCUUAAAAACUCCAUUUGCUAUCAUUCAGGAGUCAGCGAAAGUUCAAUUUGUUGCAGUGAAAACAUCUCUUUUUCAAGAUAAAGAAAACGAAUAUUGACCUAAAUUUCAUAUAUGAUUACAAGUAAAAACCAUCGUGGAGAGAGAGAGAAGAACAAAUGCAUAAACAACAAAAUCAGAGGAUUAUGGUAUUAACCUGAGAAGUCAUAGUUGGAUUGACAAUCAAGGCAAGAAAUCUUUGCCUUCAAAGUGUUGCAUUGUGCACGUUGAGUUGAUGCAAUUAGAACUAUAAACAUGAAAAAGGGGGAAAUGAAAAGCUUAAGAGAAGCCAUAAAGAACGUAUA